ensembl:snRNA U4 U4 spliceosomal RNA
AGCUUUGUGCAGUGGCAGUAUCAUAGUCAAUGAGGUUUAUCCGAGGCGCGAUUAAUGGAAUUUAAAACUUUUCCCAGUACCCCACAAGGAUGACGUGAAAUAUAGCCAGCACUGGCAAUUUUUGGCAGUCUCUACGGGGA